rnacentral:ncRNA from 2 species
UGAACUCAGGCGGGAGAGACCGGGGUUGUCGCACCCGGCGCCGAAGGAGCAAGUUCCUCCCCGGGAACCUCUCAGGCAUCCAGGACCGCGUGAGCGAG